AGGUUCGCGCUCAGAGAAAGAAGUUAUGUAAGAAUGAUAGAGCGUGUCCCUCCACACCGGACACACUGGACUUGGAUUAGCCUUGCUAUGGGACCCUACCUGAGCAUGGCAAAGGUGUGUUUUCCUUCUCACUUCACAGGGGUAGUGCCAGCAAUAAAGAUCAUCCAUUUUGAAGUACAGUAAUGGUAGUUUGGUUGUGCCAACAUUGGGAAUAGCGGAUUUUCAGAACACCGUGAUGAGUCGGUACAACAAGAGAAACAAAACUCCAGCCUAAAGUGCCCGCCCCCCCCCCCCCCCCGUGGGACUGUCCUACACGGGAUGUGUCUGUCACCCUGGCCUGGCUGGCCGUGGAAGCAGGCGACGGCAGGAAUGAUCCACUGACACAGGUACAUACCCCUGGGGGCUCCUGGAAACAUUUAAGGAGAAAGAUUCUGAAAAUGAUGGGAAUUGGGGCCUUAGCAUUAUUAAAUUGGGGAAAUUUAUGUUACUGGGAUUACAUUUGUGUUCAUUGGCUAGCAAAAAGCCUGAGACUUUCAGGUCACGUUUGUGAAUGAGAAAUUAAAACAUGCAGUCUGAUAAUAGGAAAUUGAUGAAAUAAAUUAUGCUAUUCAUAGUCAUUUAGAAUAAAAAUGUAAAUAUAUAUAUUAUGACAGAGACAUGCAAAGAGAGUUAUAAUAUUACUGAGUGGAAUAAAAUCAGUAUGUAAAAUAUGGCCCAUUUCUAUUACAGGAUGUCGACAUUUUUAAUUUAGAGGCACAUAUAUGGACAACCACAAGAGUCUAGAAGAUUAACAGUGAUGGACUCUGAAGUUGGGGUCACUUACAUUCAUUCUUGUUUCUGUUGGCGUCCUCGGUGCCCACACCUGCAUGCAAAACAAGCCCUGGGAGCUGCCCAAGCUGAGGUAGCACGCGAGGAGCCCUCUCAUGGGCACGUUUGCCUGAGCAGAGCACAGACUGUGACAGGGCUCUCCACAGACCUUCCCUGGACGGGAGCCCUCACGUCUGUCAUCCCAGAGCCUGGCAAGAAACAGAGGAACUCCCUGAAACAAAAAUAUUUCCACCAAUGGCAGAACGCAGUACUCCUGUGCCUUCCUCUUGAAGCCUGAAAAGUGCUUUUUCUUCACAUUGGGAGGGGGAAGGGACCUUCCUGACAUUGGCCUAUAUUACUCAGGAUGUAGCUCAAGAUCCAGAAGAUGGGCCUCCUGGUAAGAUUCACAUAGCAAUCAUAGAAAAUCGGGCUCAGCACUUGGUGUAGAAUCAGGAAAAUUACAAGAUGAAUGGACCGUUGUGAAUAUGAAACAUAGCCUGUUCUUUAAAGUGAAAAGGAAGGAAAGAAAGACCCUGGCAAUUAUCGCCCUGUAAACAUCAGUUCCAGCUGUAAUAAGUGUGUGUGUGUGUUGUGUGUGUGUGUGUGUGUGUGUGUGUGUGCGCGCGCGCGCACACACAUGCGUGUGGUUAAGUAGCAGGAAAGUGAUGAUAUCAGGAACAAUAAGUGGCUUAGGCUUCAAAGAAACAAAUCAUGCCAGCACAAUAGCUUUUUUUUUUUGACAGAGUUAUGAAUAGAUGGUGGGGAAAUGCAAGAGAUGUAAUAUAUCUUAUGUUAGUAAAGAUUUGAUAUGUCUCAGGAAAUUUUAUUUGCAAAAUUAGCUACAAGAUCACAAAGAAAGGUUAUUGAUAAAUUGCAAAGUAUCUGGUGGUAGGAAGGUGCAGAGAUGGCCGCCUGGGAUGGCCUUAUUUAACAGUUUCAUCAUUAAUUUGGAAGAGGGAGUGAAUCUUUCUCUGUGUUCAUAAAAAUUGCAGGUUAUACGAAAUCAGGACAUGGUGUGAACACUGAUCAGCCAGGGACUGACACAAAGUGGUCCCCAAAGAAGGAAGAUUGGACAGAAACAAGAGGCAACUGAGAAGAGCCACAUUUUUAGGUCUGUUUUGAUUUACCUUUCUUGUAGUGCAUAAAAUGAGAAUGUGAUAGCCAAGUGGGGCGACACAGACAUGGAGAAGAAGAUGGGCAACAGAAAGGAAUCUGUUCAACACACACUCGUGGGGACCCUCAUUUGCUGGGGCCAGUGUGUGCCAAGUUCUGCACGUGGACUUUGUGCUGUGUGAGCA
ensembl:lncRNA